CCACUGUUCAAGUCUAGCUCAGUCUCAAGUCCAGCCCUCUCACGUCUCCAGUUGCCGGUUCAACGGGGCACCCGGACAAGUGCGCCCUGUGGGGAGCACUGGGUAGGGCCGGCCGCCGCCACCCCGGCUGCCGGCUUCGCCAGGCGUAAUAUCUGCCUGGCGUCCCGCGUCUCCUCUUCACUUGGGAAUUUCCCCGUUCUGUGAGCAACAAAGAUCAGUCUGGAAAUGCAGCUCAGACUCACCUCUCCGCAGACACAACGAGAACUCCAAUCCUGGGUUGUUCUCACAGCGCCAUCUUGAGUCCUCCCCCCAGGUCCAGAGGCCCAGAAAGACCGAAUUGUUUUGAAGGCCAGGGCCCUGCUUCCCUAUGCUGCCUCAGAACACUGCUCCCAGCAUCCAGGCUACUCUCACUACAGCCAUGGCUGAAAGGGGCCCAUGUGUGGCUCAGGCUUUCACUUUGGAGAAUGAAGUCAGAUGCCUUGGCAGCUUCCACGUGGUGUAUAAGAAGUUGGUUGGCAGUGUCCAGUAAAGGUCUACUGAGUCCAUAUAUAUCUGUGGGCCUAUUUCUAGCAAAAAAAUAUCCACAAAAUUAGAGAGACACACAAGCUGAUACAGAGGAUCACAACUUAUCAGUGAGGGAAGAAUUUCACUGAACAAGCUCUCUUUCUGCCUGCUGCCAUCCAUGUAAAACUUCACUUGCUCCUCCUUGCCUUCUGCUGUGAUGGUGAGGCCUCCCCAGCCAUGUGGAACUGUGAGUCUAUUAAAGCUCUUUCCUGUAUAAAUUACCCAGUCUCAUGUAUGUCUUUACUGGCAGAGUGAAAACAGACUAAAACAAUACCAUAUGUCUAAUGAUG
rnacentral:lncRNA from 13 species